rnacentral:rRNA from 1 species
GUGGGGAAUAUUGGGCAAUGGGCGAAAGUCUGACCCAGCAACGCCGCGUGAAGGAAGAAGGUCUUCGGAUCGUAAACUUCUAUCCUUGGUGAAGAUAAUGACGGUAGCCGAGAAGGAAGCCCCGGCUAACUACGGGCCAGCAGCCGCGGUAAUACGUAGGGGGCAAGCGUUGUCCGGAAUGAUUGGGCGUAAAGGGCGCGUAGGCGGCCUGGUAAGUCUGGAGUGAAAGUCCUGCUUUUAAGGUGGGAAUUGCUUUGGAUACUGUCGGGCUUGAGUGCAGGAGAGGUAAGUGGAAUUCCCGGUGUAGCGGUGAAAUGCGUAGAGAUCGGGAGGAACACCAGUGGCGAAGGCGACUUACUGGACUGUAACUGACGCUGAGGCGCGAAAGUGUGGGGAGCAAACAGGAUUAGAAACCCGGGUAGUCC